rnacentral:lncRNA from 1 species
AACGAACUAAAAUGAUAGAAUAUCUGCUAUAUAAUUCAAUUCACAGGUUUUAAAUUAAUCUCACUUUUUAAAGUGAUCCUACAGUAUACUGUUGACGGAAGUCAUCGCGUUGCCACACGAUCGGCCAAUCAUACGCCAGUUACUCCUUUACGUCAUUUGACAGGUAGAAUCACUAGGAAGUAAACAUCUAUAAUGGCGAGAAAGUCGUUCAAGUUAAGCCACUACUCAAAUAUGUUACUAAAUGUGAUUUUAUAUAGUAUUUUUAAUGAGUUCGCCUUCGCCUUUCCGUCAUAUCGCGAAUCCAGACAGUCAGAAAGUUUGGAGAAACCCACCUCGGCACCAAAUGUUCAAGAGGUUGCAAGACUCCAUUUCGGAGUAAUCGCGUCUGUUGUGAUCGUUAUUGUAGCUGCAAUAGCAGCUGCUGUCUUCAUCAUCCGGAAAUAUUGCUGUCCGCAGAGUAAUGUAACAUAUAGAUAUUCAGAGCUGCGACAAAUGGAAGAACAAAAUGCAGCCAGAGAAGAGGACCAUGAUUCAGAUGAAGACCUUUUGGAGUGAAUCAUGUAGCAUAAUUUAUCCUUGACGCUUCUCUUCCUUUUUAAUGCUGUGACAUUAUAUGGCCAAAAGCAUCACAUGGAUCAUUUAAAAACCACCAGGAGUUUCUGAAAUAUUUAUAUCUGUUCCACCAUUUUUCAGCACGGAUAUGUCCACCAACCAGUUCAAAUUAGCUGGUUACAUUUGGCAGGAUUGGAGGGCUAACAUCCCCUACAUGAAAGAACUGUGGGGAAAUGGUAUAAGAUGCUUAUUAGAGAUAAAAGUUACUAUGAUUUAUUUGCAGGCAAAUAACUUAUGAAAAGAGCUGUUAUGGUUACUGUGCCCAUUGCUUAAUACUUGGUCAAUAUUGGAACUACUUUUUAAAUGCACUCCUUGUUUAGAACUUGUUUAGUAUUUUCUUGAAUUUCUCAAUGCAAGGCAUGUUGUACCAAAGUCUGUUGAAAUGAUUGUAUUGUGCCUGACGUUUUCUUGAUUUUAAAACAGCUUUAUGAUCUCAGGGUUGUUCCCACUGGAUACUGUGAACAGUGCCACAGAUACCAGAAGCACAUCUGAAUAAGCAUUUUACUGUAAACCAGACUUAUCAAUUGUAAUGAUGCUGUAGAGUUUGUAUUUCAGUGCCUUACUGAAAUCUGUUACUGUAAAAUGUAACUCUGUGUAUUUGAACAAUAAUCUGCACUCAUAUGCUGGUGUUGGUAUUUACUAAUGGCAGUGUUUUGACUUCACCACUAUUUUAAUAUGACUAUGUUGAUAGAGAAUUAUUAUGUGCAGUCCAGAGCUCCAUUAUGGUGUUUCUAUUUACUCAGUUCAUGGUGGGAAGUAUUUUUGAUGAUGGAAUUCUGUAUCUUUAGAUUUUCAUAUUUACACCUUAUCUGAGACUGAACUACUGACUACUUAA